ACGAACGCUGGCGGCGUGCCUAAUACAUGCAAGUCGAACGGUCUUUUCUAUGGAAGCUUGCUUCCACUGAGAAGAUAGUGGCGGACGGGUGAGUAACACGUGGGUAACCUGCCCAUAAGAGGGGGAUAACAUCCGGAAACGGGUGCUAAUACCGCAUAGUUUUCUUGAUCGCAUGAUCGGGAAAGGAAAGACGGCCUUUGUGCUGUCGCUUAUGGAUGGACCCGCGGCGUAUUAGUUAGUUGGUGAGGUAAUGGCUCACCAAGACGAUGAUACGUAGCCGACCUGAGAGGGUGAUCGGCCACAUUGGGACUGAGACACGGCCCAAACUCCUACGGGAGGCAGCAGUAGGGAAUCUUCCGCAAUGGACGAAAGCCUGACGGAGCAACGCCGCGUGAGUGAAGAAGGUUUUUCCGGAUCGUAAAACUCUGUUGUCAGAGAAGAACAAGUUGGAGAGUAACUGCUCCAGCCUUGACGGUAUCUGACCAGAAAGCCACGGCUAACUACGUGCCAGCAGCCGC
rnacentral:rRNA from 1 species